UACGAAGGGGGCUAGCGUUGUUCGGAAUUACUGGGCGUAAAGCGCGCGCAGGCGGUCCUUCAAGUUAGAGGUGAAAGCCCAGGGCUUAACCCUGGAAUUGCCUUUAAGACUGCAUCGCUAGAAUCGUGGAGAGGUGAGUGGAAUUCCGAGUGUAGAGGUGAAAUUCGCAGAUAUUCGGAAGAACACCAGUGGCGAAGGCGACUCACUGGACACGUAUUGACGCUGAGGUGCGAAAGCGUGGGGAGCAAACAGG
rnacentral:rRNA from 1 species